AGGAUGUUUACAUUUUGUAAUCUCAUUCUCAUUCCUUUGUAUCAUAAUUCAGUGUCUCCUCUCUAUAUACUUCAUAAACCAAAUCUGACUACCAAAUUCUCAGUUAUACAAUUAAAGAACAAAAAGAACAAAAAGAAAAGAAAGUUAUAUGAUGUUUAUAUUGUACGUGUAAUAGGCCAAUUUAGCCCGGACUCACAAAAAAAACCCAAAAUAAUAAAACGAAGUCCAAGUCCAAUCCAAAAUUAUAU
rnacentral:lncRNA from 1 species